rnacentral:tRNA from 1 species
GCACUCGUGGCGGAAUUGGUAUACGCGGUAGCCUAAGGAGCUAUGCCGAAAGGCGUGAGAGUUCGAGUCUCUCCGAGUGCA